UACGGAGGGAGCUAGCGUUGUUCGGAUAUACUGGGCGUAAAGCGCACGUAGGCGGCGCAGCAAGUCAGGGGUGAAAUCCCGGAGCUCAACUCCGGAACUGCCCUUGAAACUGCAGUGCUAGAAUCUUGGAGAGGCGAGUGGAAUUCCGAGUGUAGAGGUGAAAUUCGUAGAUAUUCGGAAGAACACCAGUGGCGAAGGCGACUCGCUGGACAAGUAUUGACGCUGAGGUGCGAAAGCGUGGGAGCAACAGG
rnacentral:rRNA from 1 species